CGCAGCUGGGGCGCGGGGCGUGAGGCGCGGGGCAGGCCCCGGCCGGGAGGAGGACAGCGCCCGCCCAGCCUGGCGUCCCCGACUCCCCUGCGCGACCCCUGCGGCAGGACCGGGCCGGGGCGUCGGGCGAAGGCAGCAGCUGGGAGGCUGGCGCCGCGAGGUUCUUACUCUGGACUCUGCCGGCCCCAGCCCGGCACCGGGCGCCCCUCAGUUUCCCGCGGAGCCCACACCCGCCUGCCCGCACACCCCAGGCUACAGUUCGCCCUCGCCCUUCCCCGGACCUAGCGCGCCUGAGACCUGAAGGAGCCCGGGCGCUCUCGCCGGAUAAAUACGCGCGAGCCUGCAGACGCACGCCUGCGCGGCCUCGAUGAAAUCCCGGACUUCUCCCGGCUCGGCCACCCGGUUUAGAAACUCCUCUCCGCCCCGCUCAGACGGGACGCGGAGCUGGAUCUGCUGCCCGCGGCCCCGAGCUGCGGCCUGCAGCCCUGCUGUUCUCCCCUCCAUGUCUCCAGGCCAACCCCAAUCCCGCGUCCCAGGUGCCUGCCAUGGCCUGCCCUUGACAACAGUUGGUAAAAAGGUGGGCUGAAGGGAACGAGCUCCAGGGAGAUGAACGCCCUGGCUCCAGGGCCCCAGGCCUCUCUCCUCCCCUGACGGUUCUGGCACCGACGCCCGCUCUCCGGUGCCUGGAAAACAGGAUCCUCCAGGUGGCAAGAUCUUCUGCUCAGAACCGUCUGUCUCGCCUGAAGCCGUGCGUCUCGGGGCCUGGCCUGCCUGCCUCCAUCACGAGCUCGGAGUGGUCUUCACAUCUGCCCUGUGUGUCCCUCUCAAUUCCUGUCUCCCAAUCCUAGUACCUGGGCGAAGGUAUCAGGAGAUGGGCUUUGGGAGGGAGUUAAAUCCUGAAGGUAGAGCCGGCCCAAGUGGGAUUAGCGCCUUUAUAAGAAGCGACACAAGAGCUUAUUCUUUCUUUCUCUGCCGUGCAAGAAAGCGAGGCUGAGGAGGUCAGCUGCAGAGCCGGAAUCAGACCUUCCCAGACACAACCCCACCAGCACCUUGAGGCUGGGCUCCCUCCCCUUGGAACUGGACACGAAAAUAAAUGCCCGCAGUUCAAGCCACACUCUACCGUAUUCUGUUACAGGGCUUGAACUUCAUACCCUUCCAUUCCCAUAUCGACCACUUCCCUAAUUAAACGCUUAGUGGCUUCGUGCAGCCCUGAGGCUUAGGUCCAAAGCCCUCCCCGGGGUCACUUGCGGCAGGAUCGGCUCUGGGCGGCCCCCUGGGUCUUCUGUCUCAGCAGCCUCCUUUCCCUGUCCCCUUGGCCUGUGCCAGGACUCAGCAUGGCCGGCGUCCUGCUCGUCGUCCAGGUGCCCUUCCGUCUGCCGCAGCACCCUGUCGUCCUUCCCCUCCUGUGAUGUUGGCCCCACACGCUGUCCUUUACUCCUGGGCUCUCUGCUUUCCCUCCCACAGUGAGACCCUUGUGAUGGUGGCUUCAUUGCCCAGUGCGGUACCUGGUGCCAGCUAGGAACACGUACAUUUGUAUUAAAUGAAUAAAAGCUCUGAAUGUGACACGGUCUCCAGAGGAGAGGCUCUGGGGCAGCUGUGAUGUGCUGCCAGAUGUGAUGGCCCAGACCACUGCUUUUCAGCAACAGCGUCACUGUUUUCAAG
ensembl:lncRNA